UUGAAUAAAUCUGAUGUGGUUGUCGCUGGCUCUCCGGAGUAUGUGCACGCCCAUCACCUUUAUCUCACUCCCUGUGCACACACUGUAGGCUUGGAUACCUCUCGCCGGAUAGGCGGAUGCAGAGAUCGCCGGUCCAUCACUGGUCGGCUUUCUUUGAAUUUCCAAGUCUACGAUUUUAUAUACCCCAAAACGAAUGUUAUAGAAUGUAAUUUGUAUGGCCUUGUGCCUAUAAAUCAAUA
rnacentral:misc_RNA from 1 species